GAAAAUAAUCUCAUUUUCUACUCCCUGUUAGGAUCUCCCCUUUGGCCCAGCUUAAAUAUAUGUCUGUUAAAAUAAACUUCCUGUGGCCACAGCCUAGAGUAUUUACAGAUGAUAUAAUUUGGUCAUCGAUUUGUACUUUCUUUCAAGAAAAUUCAUCAGAAACUACCAAGGGAAAUUCUUGGUUAUUUUCUGUGGUCACCAGCUUUCUGCUACCAACUUAUUUCCUUCACAUCAACAAAACAAAUCUAUCAUUGUGGCAUUCUUAGCCCCAGGGCUUUCGACAGUUUCUUCAUGUUGUGUGAUCUGAAAUACGUACCAGUUAUUUUGUGAAAUGCAGAGAGACAUAAAUUACCAAAUCAGUAGGAGUUAUUCUCCAUCUAGCUACUUUAUACAUUUUUUCCAGUGAGCUCGUUAUAUAAUCUACAUGAAGAUGUGAUUAAUAUGAUUCUGAAACAAAGAGUGAGAACAAGGCAGAGAUCAUGGGAGUGGACAAGGGAGAAGAUACAAACAUGUGCGUGAACCCAAGAAUCAGGUCUCUCUGCUACCUAUCCUGCACUGCUUGCACAGCUGGAUGUGCUGAAUUGGUGAGCCAACGAAGAGACAGAGGAAAAAAUCCAUGAGUGCUGAGACUAUGGGCAAUAGGAAGGGAAAAUCCAUGGGGGAAAUGCUAAGUUGGCCAGUGUCCUCAAUAUUUGGGAAUGUCGCCACCAGGCCAGUGUCCCUGAUAUGGGUGCCAGUUGCUGCCAUCCUACAUGGAUGGAGCCCAUUGUGUGGGUACCGGGAUGCCCCCAAAAUGCCCAAGGGCCUAGGGAAAGUUGCUACAGCCAUAGGGUGGCCCCUUCUCACAGUGGGACCGCUCACAACAGAAGCUGAGAUGGAAGCAACAGCAAAAGUGAGGCAGUUGCAGAAGGAAGUAAUCACUCUUGGAGGAGCACAAGCUGAAUGGCCAGCACAGCGUGAGACAACACAUCCUGCCCACACCAGGCCCACCGCCAUCGGGAGCCGCUGGAGCACCACCACCUCGUGGCUGCUGCCAGCAACUUGGUUGCUCCUGAUCCUGGCCUUGUUUGCUACCCACCUUGAGGGCCCCAAGCAGCUGCCAUGACUGAUAAGCGUCCCAGGGUGGCUUUUGCAUCUCUGGGAUACUGAAGCGGAAGGUAUUUGGCUGUCAGGGGUGGAGAUGAGCAAAAUUGAGCGGUCUCCCUCUCGACUUGGUUAAUGGCUGCCUGCAAAGGGGCGUGGCUUAAUGAGGGGGACACACCUAUGCCUGCCCUCCCGUGGCAAACCAUGGAAAAAUUACGGGAUUUGUUAAGGAAACUAGACAUAAGACAUGCAGUUUAUUCCAACCAUUACCGAAGACGAACUGUUCACUGCAGGCAAAAGACACCAUGUUACAGACGGCUCUGAAUCAACAAAAUGGGCUUUGGUAUCUCUCUCUUAAGCCCCUUCGUAGGUCACCUCGUGUCCUGGCAGGCCCAAGCCGCUGCUGACCUUGGGGAGACAGAUAGGGUCAGGCAGAAGAGAGAGUGGGCCUCCAGGAGAAAGAGACAGCAAAGGGGCCAAAACCAGUAAGGGCCCCGUCAAAGUAACGCGUAGACAGAUGUGGCAUGACCUGGUGGUAGCAGGCACCCCUCUAGAAAAAAACUGAUAAACAACCAAACGCUGUUCUGGUGGCUUUGAAUCUGGAGCCAAAACAAAGAUUCACAAGACCACCCAGAGUGUCCCAAACCAACAGCAGCACGCCCCCGCCCCCAAGAGCCUGGAUGGGAACACCCUAGUACCUUCAACUAGAGGGCAGGCCAAGGGACCUCCCCUUCCCACAACUCACUCCUGCAGUGUUGCGCAGGUGGUUUGGGUAUUGGGGGACUGGAGGCUACAUAUGGUGAUAACAAUUUAUUGGUCUACUAAGAAUAAACAGACAUCUUAGCAUUAGUAGAUACAGGAGCAGAAUGCACACUGAUUCAUGAAAAUCCAUCUUGUUUGAAGGCCCUAUUUCUGUCAUAGAUGGUUGCGAUGGGGACACAGUCAAGGUGAAACUGGUGCCACUAGCGCUGCAGAUAUGGCAUCUCCUGCCAAAACAGCAUAUGGUCUAUAUUGACCCUGUACCUGAAUAUAUCCUAGGUGUGGUUGUCCUCACUGGUCUGACCCUACAGAUUAGUGCUGGAGAAUUCCACUUUUGGGUCUGCCUGGUAAAAUCUGUGACAAAAGGAUAUGCCAAAUGGACUCUGGUUAAAUUGCCCCAACCACAUCAUGUGGUGGCGCUAAGACAAUAUUGCCUCUGGGGGAGACAUUAUGAAAUCAUUGUACAAGAAUUGGUGAAAGUAGGAAUUACUAGACCCACACAUAGCCCAUUUAAGAGGCCAGAGUGGUCCGUCCAGAAGCCAAAUGGUUCCUGGCGAAUGACUGUGGACUAUCAAGAAUUGAACAAAGUGACACUGCCUAUGUAUGCUGCCGUCCCCAAUAUAGCCUCCCUCUUAGAACCAACAGGGGACACUUUGGAGUGAAUCAUUUUGUUCUGGACCUUGCUAAUGCCAUUUUCAGUAUCCCCUUGGAUGAAGGACGUUGAGACCAGUUUGCCUUUACCUGGCAGGGCACACAAUGGACUUUCACUGUUCUGCCUCAAGGAUAUCCCCACAGUCCCACCAUUUGUCAUGGUCUUGUGGCCUGCUGUUGCCUUCUUCCCUUAUAUUGAUGAUGUCAUGUUAACCUCUGAGUCUUUUUUGGACCUGCAGGAAACCUCCCACUCCCUCGUCAUCCGCCUAUACCAACGAGGAUGGGUGGUGAAUGACAACAAAUGACAAGGGCCUGGGUUAUCUGUCAAAUAAUUGGGUGUUGUCUGGUCAGGUAAGACAAAAGUGGUGCCUUAUAGAUAAGAUACAGGCUUUCUGUACACCCAACACCACGAAACAACUAUAGACCUUUCUGGGCUUAUUGGGUUACCGGCACCCUUUCACUCCUCAUGUGGCCCAGCUACUGCGUUCUCUUUAAAGUUGGUGUGAAAGGGAGUUAUCUGGCACUGGGGGACCAUUGAGUAGGAGGCAUUCACCCAAGCCAAUAUAGCAGUAAAACAAAUUCGGUCCUUGGGUGUUUUGAACACAGAGACAAUCAUGUGAAUUGGAUGUUCUCAGUUACCCAGAGGGCUUCAGAUGGAGUCUCUGGCAGAGGUAAGGCAAUAAACAAGCUCCUCUUGGCUUCUGGUCCCAAUUGUGGAAAGGGGCUUAAAGAUGAUAUAGUGUCCUGGAGCAACAAUUAUGUGCUGCUUACUUGGCCCUCCAACAAGUGGAGCCCAUAACCUGUUCCCUGCCAGUCACAGUCUGUACCCAUCUGCCCAUUGCAGGGUGGCUGUGGGACACUUUCCAAAAGCCCCACUCGGGAACAGCCCAAACAGAGACACUGACAAAGUGGCAUGCAGACUUACAACAAUGAGGGACCCUUACUAAUAGGUACCUAAGCAGAAUUGCAUCCCAUCCCAGGACCAGUAACAUAUACCACAGAAGAAACAAUGCCGUUGGAUGAGGUGCCCAUGCCUGAAACUCUGCCAAAUGUACAGGAAGCAGGAGGAUCCAUCCCGGCAGAGCCUGGUAUACAGAUGGCUCCACAAGGGGCAAUCCCCUCCUCCACGGUGGAUGGCAGUGGCCACCCAGACUUUGACCAAUAGCAUGUGGUUGGAUUCUGGAUCCGGGUACAGUAAUCAAUGGGCUGAAUUGUAGUCCACCUGGAUGGUGCUGCCUUGAGAGCUCAAUCCAAUACAUCUGUGUAUGGACAGUUGGGCAGUCUAUAAGGGGGUCACCCUGUGGAUGGCCCAAUGCAUGACAAAAGUGGACUAUUAACAGUCACCCAUUGUUGGUGGCAGAGCUCUGGGAUGACAUCUGGCAGCAGAUGCAGGGAAUGACAAUAACAGUAUAUCACAUUUCUGCACAUCAGGCAACAAUGCUGCCAGGGAACCAACAAGCAGAUGAGUUAGCUCGGAUUCGUGUCCUGGAGGAAGUCCCAGCAGAGAGAUUGGCAGAAUGGUUACACAAGAAGGCUGGACAUAAAGGACAAAAGACUCUAUGGACUAUUGCCAAGGCCUGGGGUCUCCCCCUGUGCUAUGCUGACGUGGUGCAACUCUGCUAGGCGUACCCUUCUUCUUCCUUGCAGAGACCCCAGGCCAUUCCCCAGGAUGUAGGCCAAAUCACCAGAGGCAACCAACCCGCCCAAGGCUGGCAGGUGGAUUAUGGUGGACCCUCACCUCUCUCCAACGGCUGCUAGUAAGCAUAUCAGAUGUUGACACAAGAACUCGCUACAACACUACACCUACAGACAAGAGCUAAUCAAGGAGAGAAACUACAACCACAGAUGGGCACUCAGAACAACUUGCUUUUGCCUUUGCCACAGCCUUAGGGCAACAUCUGCCAACCUCUUCGCUGAUUGGGCGCACACCAUUGCUGACUUACAAAAUCGCUCCAACUGCUGGGUAUGCAGCAAGAUGCCUGUCUCUUCAACCACGGGGUUACCAUGGAAGAAAGUGUUCUUUGACGUUCUUGCCUUUUUGUCAUUGCUGUUAUUUUCUUGCUGUGCUCUCUAUUGCUGUUGUCGUGUAUGGUUACAGUGCUCCUCUAUGUGCCCGGCCCAAGGGACUCUAUGGAAAAAUGUCACAGUAAGAUUAUAAGGGCCAUUUGGACACAUGGGGGCAUGGAGUGUAGAACUUUUCUUGCUCAGUAAUAACCUAUGUGCCCUAUUGUAACCAUCUGUCUUCUUGGCCCCUCUCUGGGCAGGAUGCCAGCCCUCUGGGAAUUGUAACCAUCCAGGGCCUGGCCAACCUAGAUCUUAACGUAUCUUAAAGGACAACAUGUCUUGAAGGAACACAGAGCCCUUCCACGUGAGCUACUGGUCCUGGGAACACUAAUCAUACCAAGAACAGUCCCUCUUGGCAAGCACUUAGUCUUGUUCCCCUGACUAUGUAAGCAACCCCCUCUCUGCCCGUGGUAGCGGGUGUGCAACUCUGUCCAGCCAGUCACCCCUGGACACUCCCUGUAUGUAAGUCCCAAUAAAACCUAUAUAUCUCAUAUGCCAUCUCUGUGUCUUUUCUUCAGUCUCUCUGGACCUGUCCUGCAUUGCUUGUACAACUGGGCAUGUGGCCAGACAACAUGCCUCAUACCGAAACUAAGACACCAGCAAAGGGUGGAUGUGGUUCAGCAAACACAACCAAAACAAUAAUUUCAAAACAGGAAAUUUUGUAACACUUCUAAGCAAAGAGGUUAAAAUAAAAGACUGUUUUGGUGCUUAAAUGAACAAACCACAGGUAUCUUUCAAAAACAAUGUUUCUAAAAGGAUUUUCAGUAGAACAUUAUCCCAUUAAAAUAGAUCAUCUACUACAAAAGAAAAAAAAAAUCCAAUGGUUAAAUAUUUGGGAAGUGAUGUUGGAAUAGUUUGCAAAUUGUUCUAGUUUUGAUUGUGGAGUCUCAAAAAAUAAACUUAAUCCCUCAUUCAAAAAGUCACUCCAUGAAGAGAGUCAUUGCUUUCCUCCAAGUCACUUUUUUUCUUAUAAAAACAGUUCUACUUGAACUCUCUCUUGCUGUGAUUCGAUAGCUUUUUGUUUUAAUAAGCCAUCUGAAAACUCC
ensembl:lncRNA